ACGAACUAUUCUUUCCACGUUGAAAGCACGCCAUCCCGUCCGAUCUGGCAAGUUAAGCAACGUUGGGCCUGGUUAGUACUUGGAUCGGAGACGGCUUGGGAAUCCCAGGUGUCGUAAGCU
rnacentral:rRNA from 1 species